GGAGUGUUGUGUCAUCCAAAGGAACACGAAAUCUACGUUCGAUUAAGAAAUGUAAUGUCCGGCGGGCAGAGUAUUAAGACGAAAAAAAAAAGACUUCAAAAUUCGUUUUACAUUUGCCUUGCAUGCAUGAUUUUAACGGAAACAGCGGUUGAGUGUAAAACAAGCGUGAACGCGGACGUUAUUUCGCGUUAACGUUAACGCCAAUUGACAAGGAUAGCGUGGGAAAAAGCAUCAAAUCUGGAACCGACAUCUGGAGUGCUACUUCGAAAAAACACGCAUCUAUCUAUUCACGAUCACUUCAAAGAGAAAAGAGUUGGAAGCUACGCAUGAGGAAAUUAUGGAUUAAUUUCUGUGUCAGCACUUCAAACUUCGGUUGAAGUAACUACAUUAAAAGCGAACAGCAGCUGACAGGUGCUUAUAUCAGAGCGUCGAAAUUAACAUUCGUCAUACACGAUUCGAGUUGAAUCAGAAAUGUCUGUGCGAUACAUUAUCGUUAUCUUGAGUCUGGAUGAGCUGCAAUAUAUUUGGAAAGUUCGCGCACGAAAUCGAAAAGAUACCCUAUAAUUGCUUUUUAUUCAUUUUUUUCUUGUCUAUUAAAUAGGUGUUACUCUUUGUUCCGUGCAGAUAACCUCCCCUUCGACCACAAAAUGUAAACCUUUUGAAAUUAUAAUUAUUUUAAAUUUAGAUGACCCAAUUGCAGCUAAUAUUAAACUUCAGUAUCAGUUGAACAGUAAAGGCCUUGUUCCCCGAGGCAAAUGUUUUUACCAUCCAUUUCUACCUACGGACAGAGAAUUAAUGUGGUAUUUAUCGCAAAGGUUUGUAGACCACCCACCCCCCGAUAUAAACAUUGGCCGACGAUGCGUGACGUAGAAGCUGUAGAUUUUCCAAGGAAGAAGUGUGUCUAAGCUCGUUACAGUUUCCGUGGC